CUGGCGGCGUGCCUAAUACAUGCAAGUCGAACGGUCUUUCUAUGGAAGCUUGCUUCCGCUGAGAAGAUAGUGGCGAACGGGUGAGGUAACACGUGGGUAACCUGCCCAUAAGAGGGGGGAUAACAUCCGGAAACGGGUGCUAAUACCGCAUAGUUUUCUUGAUCGCAUGAUUGAGAAAGGAAAGACGGCCUUUGUGCUGUCGCUUAUGGAUGGACCCGCGGCGUAUUAGUUAGUUGGUGAGGUAACGGCUCACCAAGACGAUGAUACGUAGCCGACCUGAGAGGGUGAUCGGCCACAUUGGGACUGAGACACGGCCCAAACUCCUACGGGAGGCAGCAGUAGGGAAUCUUCCGCAAUGGACGAAAGUCUGACGGAGCAACGCCGCGUGAGUGAAGAAAAGGUUUUCGGAUCGUAAAACUCUGUUGUCAGAGAAGAACAAGUUGGAGAGUAACUGCUCCAGCCUUGACGGUAUCUGACCAGAAAGCCACGGCUAACUACGUGCCAGCCGCUGC
rnacentral:rRNA from 1 species